UUGCCUUGACCUGCCCGUUGUGUUGUGUUUGCUGCCCUUGAGCUGUUUCUUCUACUGGAGAGAACAGAAGAGAUAGAAAAAUAAAGUUUUCCUCCAUUUUCUCAAGAAUUACUGGUCGUAUGAAAAUUCCAAUAAUAGCGUUGGAAUCCUCAUAAAAAUCCUCUUUUAUUGGCACAUAAAUCAUAAAAAGUUGCCUCCGGAAGUUUUGAGCUACGAGGUGAUGAAUGUAAGCAUUUAUUAUUUUUCUUUAAUCAAUUUUUUUUUUCCAAGUUGGUAAACUUUGCUAUUUAUUUGCAUUUCUUGAUAUUUUUUCCUUCAUAAGGCAGAAUAAUCUCUUCCAAAAUGAACGAUGUAUAAUAAUGCCCGGAAAAAAGAAUACCCAUGGCUGAAAUUGAUAACAUGAAUUUUUUUUUCGCCGCACAGUCAGGCCAUUCCGCAAAGCCCCCUGGGGAGCCCCAUACGGAUGUCGCAGUGGAAAGAGAAACUUAUUAAACUUUUGGUGCGUGAAAGGGUUAAUACCCUACAGAAAACUAAAGAAACUGCAAAAUAUUGACGUAUAACAGUAUAAAGUAUAAGAGUGCGGCCUAGCACAUGGCAGCUUGGGGGGCUAGGUUAUAUUAGGUUAUAGUUAUGUUAGAUAUGCUUUAGUUAGGUUGAGUCAAGUUAGGUUAUAUUAGGUAGGUGUUUGUUUUGAUUAUUUUAGGUAAUCGGAGCCCUUUCAUGAAUCUCGGUAAUAAUGAUGAUAAUAAUGAUAAUAAUAAUAAUAAUAAUAAUAAUAAUAAUAAUAAUAAUAAUAAUAAUAAUCUAAUUAGACCUAAUGCCACAUAACAGGAGCAUUCCUCCACUUGACUCCCGUUCAGCCAUUUCCAUGGACAAUAGUAGGAAAAGAAGUUGAAGAGUACGCUUUGUCGGAGCAAAAAGUGUCAAGCUCUGAUGUGUCGUUGAAAUAAGAGAAGCCAAGUAUGUAAAUCUAGUAAGGUAUCACGGUGGGGCCAAGGAGAGAGGGAUGGGGUAUUACUCUGGGUGUGUCAUUCAGUGCAAUGCUUGUCCCCAGGUGUGCAGUGUAGGGGAGCGUGAGCACCUGCCAGGCCGCUCACAGUGAUAGAGCCCUCAAGAAGACUAAGAAGCUGUGUUGCCGAGGACCACGUCUGGCUCCAGCAGCUCAGAUGAGGAGGCGUCACGGUUCAGGGGGGCGUGUGACCCCACGCUGUGGAGGACGGCCGCGCAGGGAGCCGCCAAGAAUGAAAUCUGCAGAGCGGAGGCAUCUGAUGAGAAGCCCCAGCCAAGGCGACCAGAGGCAGACCUUCAUGCUGCUGGAGAAGAUGCGCACAACCCUUGCCGGGGCGCAGGGCAAGGCAGGGUGUGUGGGGCUGAGGCGCAAGGAUGGCCAUGGCCCUGGCAUACAGGGCAGGCCAUCGUCAGGCAGGGCAGAGGCCAGCACAGCGAGGGUGGCCAUGGCCACACUCUCCCUUCCUGGCCAAGCAGCUCACCUUAAGACUGGACGGGUCAAGAUCUUCUCCCCGGACCUGCUGUACCGGUUGAUGUACUUGGCGGCAGUGAGUGACAUCCCCCUGUCUGUGGCCACUGACAUGCUGGAAGAGUGUGGCCUGGACUACCUCCCCAACACAGCCUGCUCGGACUGAGACCACUCACGCACAACACACCGCCACAACGAGGCCACAACUCCUUGCCUGACGUCGCGUCACUGCUAGGUGAACAGGGGCUACACGUGAAAGACCCAACUCAUCUUCACCCGGCCGGGGAAUUGAACCCCAGCCCUUCUGGUUGUGAGGCAGACGCUCUACCCACUGAGCUACCGGGCCGUGGGUUGUGGGCUGUGGCAGCAGCAGCAGCAGCGUUGAGGCGGGAUGCAGCGUGCUCUGAGGCGACCCCGGGCAGGAGGCAACAUGCGACCUCGAGCACCAGACCUUUUACCUCUAUUCAGGAGCAAUCGUGUAACUGAUGGAGGCUGGCACAGGAAGUUGCUGAUAUGUGGGCUAUAGCUGACUGGCUGGUGCUGUCUGGUCACUCAGCUCAGCAAGGGACUGGAAGCUGGAACUCUCUCUCUCACAAAAAAAAGUAAUGUAAAAGUGUAUAAGGUCCACUGAAAAGAAGAGAGAGAGAGAGAGCCAUCUCAUCC